AGCCCGCGUUGAAGGUCUCCAGGUCGAUGAAGGACGGCUUCUCCUUGCGGAACGUGAGCACCAGCUGCUCCACGAACACGGUCACGAAGAAGCCCAGCAGCAGCAGGGUCUCGGCCAGCGGGUAGUCAGUGCUCAGGGCCCAGGAAUAUCCCAUCUGCACAAGAGGUCAGGGCCCAGGCGGACUGGGGACGGCAGUGCUCGCCUGGCAUCUCCGCACUCUGGGAGGCUGAGGCAGGAGGAUCACAGCGUGCGCCCAACCUGCGCGAUCUGAGUGACUUAAGUUCCAGUGUACAGCCUGGCUGGCCUUGAACUUUCGAUUUUCCUCUCCCAAGACUCACUGAAACUUGCAGAGCCAAAUAAGGCAGGUGUACCCAGGCCCAUGUACCCUCCGCGGCCUCAUCCAGGUCCAGCAGCGAUCUGAACCCACGCUGGGUCUGGAAGCCAGUCCAUCUCCACCUUCAAGCCGCGGGGUAACCAACCACAGCCAGGGGACGUCCUGACUGCAGCUUCGUGUGACCCAAAACAGAGGACCUCGCCUGGCCGAACCCAGAUGCAGACCCACAGAAGCCACAAGAUAAUAAAUGAUGCCCAGGUGCUGUGGCUUGUUAUGCAGCAGUAGCUGACAGAUGCAAGAGCCCCCUGGCCGUAAGGUGCCCACCGGAGAGGCCUUACCUUCUCCCGCACGGCGGGCAGCAGCGCAUUGAAGCAGGUGGCCAGAAAGACCCCGCCCCCAAAGGUGUUGCAGAGGGAAAGGACCUUUUUGGAGUGAUGAGCUUUCUCAAAGUCCGUCUCGAUGACCUUCACGGGCAGCAGGGAGCCCAGCAGCAUGAAGAAGAACACACCCACCAUGCAGAGGAUCUUAACCACCAACAGCUUCACCAUGGCGGCAGCAGGUUGGAAGGCACCGGUCACCGCGGGGCCACACCACGCAUGGACACACAGGUGGGCGCCACAAUGCACUACCGGGGCUGAUCCUGCAUCGGGAAGCUCAUGGCUCCGCCCAGCAGCUGUGAACACCAGAGGCAACCAUGUUAGCUGGGGAUCUUCGGGCCAGCCCUAGUUACCCAGCGUCCACCGAGGACUUCUGUCCACCCCACAGCUUGCGCCUAUCACUGCCCCCCUUGGAAAACACCAGGGGCUGCAGUGUCCAGUACAGCGGCUACUGAACACAUGUCUCCAGAUCAACUGCAAUGGAACAGUUUGAAAUUCUUCUUUGGGGGCUGGAGGUACAGCUCAGCGGCACAAGUGCCUGCCUGGCAAGUGCAAGGUUGUGCGUUUGAUCCCCAGUACCAAAAAAAGAAAAGAAAAGAGAAAGAAGGAAAAAUUUUGCUUGGUUGCACUGCAAGUGCUUAGUAAUCGUGGGCACCUGGUGACUUCAACCUUAAGCUUCAGAGAGGAAGAGCUUCCUUUGUGAUGAAAUUAAUGUGAUAAUACAGAAUACAAACCCUUUAAUAUCAAGGCUGAGGUUCUCUGUGACCAGUCUUCCCCACCUCAGCCCACAUCAGUGUCCCUCAAACAUGUCAAACUCCUUCCUGCUACAGGGCCUUUGCACAGGUUGUUCUUGCUGCCUGCCACACCUCUCUACCCUGAACUCCCAAGGAUGUCCCUCUCAUCUGGGAUCUACCCCUUCUCCAAACUGUAUAUCCUGUAGCCACCAUGGGCCUGUGCAAAACAUGUCCGGUGGCCACCAGAUGAACAGAGGGACCAGCUUGAUGUGUUAACCUCUUUUUUUUUUUGGUACCAGGGAUCAAACUCACGGCCUGGUAAUUGCCAAGCAAGCACUUGUGCCCCUGAGCUACAUCCCUGGCUCCUGCAUGAGCCUCUUUAUGAGACUUGAUGGACCAAAGUGGCGAUUUUACCCUGGCCUGCAAAAUGUGGAGUUACCAGAAGAGACCUCAGCUCCUCCAUCUUUGAGUCCCCCUCUUUCUCUCUGCCCUCUACGUCAUUUAUGUCUACAGGCAUCUGCCUAGAUGUUGGGGGGGGGGUCAUAGGGCCCUCCCUGUCCCCUUAAACUGGCAGAACCCGCCUCUAUUUUGUGCGGUGGAGGGAACCGUGUUUUUAAAUGCGUUUAAAUGCUCCUUCCCGCUUGCUGUGCGCCCCACAGAACCGCAAAGGCACACAGCAGGCGCCUAAUAAAUACCCGUCGGGGUCUGGCCGACCCAGGCCGCGGAGUGGGCGUGGGGGCGGCCUGCACGCUCUCAAACUGGAACCCGGAUCGAGCGGCCCGCGGAGGAGACUGGGCCACCAGUUCAUUCAGCACUUAGUGAGCGCCUACUGUGUGCCCGCGCAGCCGCACCGCGCAGCCCGGUCUCGGCUAACGGGCGGAAUCGGCCAGGCCUCCCGGCCCUGUCCUAGCGCCCCAGACCCACCUUCGCCCCACAGGUACCUGCGCAGCCUCUCUCGACCGCCAAGCGGCUCCGGCCGCCGCCAACCGCCGCGCGGUUCCCACCCGGCCGCCGCGGUCCAGGAGAGCUCCCGCCUCGGCGCGCCGAUGCCCACGUCCCGCCCACCACAACGACUAUUGGUGUUGCGGAGCGCCACUGGUUCAAAGUCACACGUUAUUGGCUGACGCGGUUGCCACUCAUCCUGCCGCUCCACUUCUCCCACCUGCUCCUGAGAGUAGUUUCCUCUUGGCGAGAGGGCGCAGCCACUAAGAGGUUCCGGAUGGGAAUGUGGCAACAUUGAGCAUUGGUUCCGAAAGGGUUUGGCUUCCAGAGCUGUCCAGGUCCUCUGGUGCUGAAUUCUGCUCGGUUGGAGGCUUGGCAGGAAGUGAUUCCUACCGGGGACCAUCUCUGUGGAAGCAUCCCUGCUGCGCGUUCCCUUCUUCCCGCUUUAAAAGCACAGCCAAGCUGGGCGCGGUGGUGCACGCUUAGAACUCCUGCAUUCCGUGGGGCUAAGGCAAGAGGAUUCUAAAUUCAAGCCCAGCCUGGGCAAUUUACUCAUUUAGCAAGACUUUCUUUAAAAAAAAAAAAAAAAAAAAGAAUUUUAACACAGUUUGAAAGCCCGGAGAUUCAAUCCCCAGUACUGGGGGAAGUGGGGGCGAAGGGAGGGGGGUGAGAAACAACGAAACAAGAAAUAGAUAUAACUAAGUCGGGCGUGGUGGUGCACACCUGUCAUCCCAGCAGUCGGGAGGCUGAGGCAGAAGGAUCGUUGCGAGUUCAAGACCUGUCUGGGCUACAAAGUGAGCUCAAGGCCAGCCUGGACUGCACAGCAAGACCCUCUCUCAAAAGGACAAUUAAAAAAAAAUUGAUAUAACUAGCUGCAAUAGGUGACACUGGAUUAAAUCCUGAUUUAAAAAUUGUGUUUUACAAAAAUAAAAAAAUUCUGCUUUA